rnacentral:lncRNA from 1 species
CACUCCACAAUUAAACUGGAUCAAGGUUAGAUAGAAUGGCUCGCAUACAUUCUAUCACAAAAAUUGCAAAUUAAGGAAAAUGUCUCAAAAUGAUAUUUCAAAUUGCAUUCAUCAAAAGUCUUCUUCUUACAAAUGGAAGGAUAAAGGCAUUAUAUAACAUUAACUAAGUAAUAAAAAUGGAUCUUCCUAGUAAAAAUAAAACAUUAACUAAGUUUUC